CACGGGAAACUGUGGCUAAUACCGCAUAAUCUCGCCGGGNCGGNUNUUUUCGGUGAGGAAAGCUGAGGCGAUUUGGGAGGGGCCUGCGGUCGAUUAGCUGGUUGGUGGGGUAAAAGCCUACCAAGGCGAUGAUCGAUAGCUGUUCUGAGAGGAAGACCAGCCACACGGGAACUGAGACACGGUUCCGACUCCUACGGGGGGCAGCAGUGAGGAAUAUUGCGCAAUGGGGGAAACCCUGACGCAGCAACGCCGCGUGGAGGACGAAGGUUUUCGGAUUGUAAACUCCUUAACUGGGGGAAGAGAGANGGACGG
rnacentral:rRNA from 1 species